rnacentral:rRNA from 1 species
UACGUAGGGGGCUAGCGUUGUCCGGAAUCAUUGGGCGUAAAGCGCGUGUAGGCGGUCCGGUAAGUCCGCUGUGAAAGUCGGGGGCUCAACCCUCGAAUGCCGGUGGAUACUGUCGGGCUAGAGUGCGGAAGAGGCGAGUGGAAUUCCUGGUGUAGCGGUGAAAUGCGCAGAUAUCGGGAGGAACACCAGUGGCGAAGGCGGCACUCUGGGCCGGCAUUGACGCUGAGGUGCGAAAGCGUGGGGAGCAAACAGG